rnacentral:rRNA from 1 species
AUGCCUAACACAUGCAAGUCGAACGGACGAGGGUAGCAAUACCCAAGUAGUGGCGAACGGGUGAGUAACACGUGAGCAACCUGCCCUUUACACUGGGAUAGCAGUUGGAAACGACUGAUAAUACCGGAUAAGACCACGCUCCCGCAUGGGAGAGGGGUCAAAGCGUUUUAGCGGUGAAGGAUGGGCUCGCGUCCAAUUAGCUAGUUGGUGAGGUAACGGCCCACCAAGGCGACGAUUGGUAGCCGACUUGAGAGAGUGAUCGGCCACACUGGAACUGAGACACGGUCCAGACUCCUACGGGAGGCAGCAGUGGGGAAUAUUGGGCAAUGGAGGAAACUCUUACCCAGCCAAUGCCGCGUGAGGGAUGGAGGUCCUAUGGAUUGUAAACCUCUUUGAUUAGGGACAAAGAAAGUGAUGGUACCUAAAGAACAAGCCCCGGCUAACUAUGUGCCAGCAGCUGC